UACGAAGGGGGCUAGCGUUGCUCGGAAUUACUGGGCGUAAAGCGCACGUAGGCGGAUUGUUAAGUCGGGGGUGAAAUCCUGGAGCUCAACUCCAGAACUGCCUUCGAUACUGGCGAUCUAGAGUCCGGGAGAGGUGAGUGGAACUGCGAGUGUAGAGGUGAAAUUCGUAGAUAUUCGCAAGAACACCAGUGGCGAAGGCGGCUCACUGGCCCGAUACUGACGCUGAGGUGCGAAAGCGUGGGGAGCAAACAGG
rnacentral:rRNA from 1 species